UACGUAGGGUGCGAGCGUUAAUCGGAAUUACUGGGCGUAAAGCGUGCGCAGGCGGUUUUGUAAGACAGGCGUGAAAUCCCCGGGCUCAACCUGGGAACUGCGCUUGUGACUGCAAGGCUAGAGUACGGCAGAGGGGGGUGGAAUUCCACGUGUAGCAGUGAAAUGCGUAGAGAUGUGGAGGAACACCAAUGGCGAAGGCAGCCCCCUGGGUCGAUACUGACGCUCAUGCACGAAAGCGUGGGUAGCAAACAGG
rnacentral:rRNA from 3 species